CCCCACCUGCUCCCUGUCCACAGCUCCACCCUGCUGGACACAGGCACUCAGCAAACAGCUGCGUGGGUUCCUGUUCUGGCAUACUGGAGAUGGACUCCCUGCAGAGGCCACUGACGGCCACCGAUCGUCACUGAGCGGCGCUUGUACGAGGUCAGUGUUCACAGGAGAAGCAAGGAGGAGCCUCAGCUGUCUAGGCACUGGACCGUUCAGUUGUUACAAGCCUACGAAAUCAAGUUCAGAGACAAGCUUUGUGCCCGAGGUCACAGAGCUAGCACACUGCUGAGCUGGAAUCUGCCUCCUCCGUCUGUCUGGCCUCAGUCCUUUUCACAAGGCCAAGGACCUCCUUCCUGGGAGAAGUUCUGUAGGGGUGGAUGUCUGUCUCUUGUUUCUGGUGCCUCACCAGGGUUUGGAAUGCUGCUGGGACACAGCAGGGGCUCAGUAACCCGUUUUAACAUGGUAAAAUAAACAACAAGAGUAAAAAUGGUACAC